UGCUUUCCCUGUCCCAGUGCACCCUUCUCUCCCUCAGUGUCUCUGAGCUGAAGCAGCUGGUUGAGGGCCAUCAAGAACCAUACCUCCUUUGCUGGAACCAGUCACAAAACCAGGUACAGGUUGCUCUGAGCCAAGUGGCAGGCCCUGAGACUGUCUUAAGGGCUGCCACCCAUGGGCUGAUUCUCGGAGCCCUGCAGGAAGAUGGGCCACUUCCAGGGGAGCUGGCAGAGCUGAGGGACAGGGUUCAGGCUGGUCCUAAGAACGAAAGCUGGAUUCUUGUCAGGGAGACCCAUCAAGUGUUGGACACACUGUUCCCAAAGUUCUUGAAAGGUAACACCGUCUCCUGGCUUCUGCAGCCUUGGGUCCUGCCUGGGAAAUAAAGAACUGCGUUGUCUGUG
rnacentral:lncRNA from 1 species